UUAGAAAAAAAUGGGAAAACCUAUUCCCUUCAUGGAACGGAUACAACAUUGCGCCCCAUCAAUCAGGUCUCAGUCAGGUCUCGGUCAUCUUUUUCCUCUGCAACUAACGACAUCGAAUGACAACUCCUCUAUAAGCCUAUAUCGAUCAGGUCUCGGUCAUCUUUUUCCAGAGAUAAAUCCUCUUCUUCCCCAGGUGGCAAAAUAGUGAAGUUAAGAAAAAUUAUCGAGGGGUGUAGGCGAGUUCUCCACAAGCUUUAUGAUGUGUUCUCCUGAGUAAUGAACAAGUGAGAAUCAUUUCCAGCAGGCUUUAAUGGACCGUAGGUUGGUAAUGAAGAGCAAAUUCAAUUGUCAGGAUUCUUGAAAAAUUUGUUCUUCCCAAGAUAGUUUGACAAACUUAAGACUACAUAUUUGAAAUAGCUAAGUGUGAGGAGUACUUGUAUUACACACAAUUAUGGAUCAUUAAUAUCAGAUGUGAAAACAAUAAUGAAUAAACAAACAAAUAUUGUAUCAGGUUGAGAGGAUUUUCUCUUCUUCAUGUUGGCUCACUCCUGCUAUAUACAAGGAAUUGUUGUCCAGAUUAGCUUUAAGCCCCGAUACAAUUAACAAGUGAUUGAAAGCUUGGAAUUUGAGAACUAAUCCAAAUUAGAGUGUCUUUGAAGGUCACAUGUACAUUCACUAUUUAAUUGAAGAUAAACACUUACAUGUUGGCAUAUAGUUAGUGUUGAAACAUUUA